GAUGAACGCUGGCGGCGUGCUUAACACAUGCAAGUCGAGCGAGAAGGUUGUUAUGGAGUCUUCGGACGAAAUAAUAACUGGAAAGCGGCGGACGGGUGAGUAACGCGUGGGCAACCUACCUUGUACAGAGGGAUAGCUACUGGAAACGGUGAUUAAUACCUCAUAAAACUAAAGCAUCGCAUGAUGCUGUAGUCAAAACUCCGGUGGUACAAGAUGGGCCCGCGUCUGAUUAGUUAGUUGGUGGGGGUAGAGGCCUACCAAGGCGACGAUCAGUAGCCGACCUGAGAGGGUGAACGGCCACACUGGAACUGAGACACGGUCCAGACUCCUACGGGAGGCAGCAGUGGGGAAUAUUGCACAAUGGGCGAAAGCCUGAUGCAGCAACGCCGCGUGAGCGAAGAAGGCCUUCGGGUUGUAAAGCUCUGUCCUAAGGGAAGAAGAAUGACGGUACCUUAGGAGGAAGCCCCGGCUAACUACGUG
rnacentral:rRNA from 1 species